rnacentral:rRNA from 1 species
AGCAGCCGCGGUAAUUCCAGCUCCAAUAGCGUAUAUUAAAGUUGUUGCAGUUAAAAAGCUCGUAGUUGAAUUUCGGGAUUGACCCAUCGGUCGUGCCUUAAGGGGCAUGAACUGGUGUAGUCAAUUUCUCACCUUCUGGAGAACCGUGAUGUCCUUAAUUGGGUGCCACGAGGAACCAGGACCUUUACUUUGAAAAAAUUAGAGUGUUUAAAGCAGGCAUUUUUGCUUGAAUACAUUAGCAUGGAAUAAUAAAAUAGGACGGCAUGAUUCUAUUUUGUUGGUUUCUAGGAUCACCGUAAUGAUUAAUAGGGAUAGUUGGGGGCAUUAGUAUUCAAUUGUCAGAGGUGAAAUUCUUGGAUUUAUUGAAGACUAACUACUGCGAAAGCAUUUGCCAAGGAUGUUUUCAUUAAUCAAGAACGAAAGUUAGGGGAUCGAAGACGAUCAGAUACCGUCGUAGUCUUAACCAUAAACUAUGCCGACUAGGAAUCAGACGAUGUUAAUUUUUAAUGACUCGUUUUGG